GAUGAACGCUGGCGGCGUGCCUAAUACAUGCAAGUCGAGCGAACAGACGAGGAGCUUGCUCCUCUGACGUUAGCGGCGGACGGGUGAGUAACACGUGGAUAACCUACCUAUAAGACUGGGAUAACUUCGGGAAACCGGAGCUAAUACCGGAUAAUAUAUUGAACCGCAUGGUUCAAUAGUGAAAGACGGUUUUGCUGUCACUUAUAGAUGGAUCCGCGCCGCAUUAGCUAGUUGGUAAGGUAACGGCUUACCAAGGCAACGAUGCGUAGCCGACCUGAGAGGGUGAUCGGACACACUGGAACUGAGACACGGUCCAGACUCCUACGGGAGGCAGCAGUAGGGAAUCUUCCGCGAUGGGCGAAAGCCUGACGGAGCAAAGCCGCGUGAGUGAUGAAGGUCUUCGGAUCGUAAAACUCUGUUAUUAGGGAAGAACAAAUGUGUAAGUAACUAUGCACGUCUUGACGGUACCUAAUCAGAAAGCCACGGCUAACUCCGUG
rnacentral:rRNA from 1 species